UUUAAAAUUUAUGAUCUAAAGUUUGGUUAAAAAUUUUGUUAUUAUUUUUUAGCUAUUUUAGUAUUUUAAAAGUUUAUUAUUUAUUUAUUCAUUCAUUUAUGUAUCAUUAAUCUAUAUAUGGUAACUUAAUUAAAAUAAGGAAAUAGGUGAAUUCUUAAGUUCACCCAGGGUGAACCUAAGUAUUGUUCUUUCCUAAUGGGUUCUAUUUGAUGCAGGUUUUUCUAUCAAAGCGAAACUAGGAUUCGGAGUUGUUUUUUGGGGAUCAGUGGUCAGCUUAUUUAUGCUAGGAAUCUUCUACGUCAUGUGCUGUACAAAGAAGACAUCAGAUGAUCUAAGACAACACGGUCUGAAGGCCCUUAUUCCACUGAAACAGUAUAGCUACGCGCAAGUAAAGAUAAUUACAAAGUCAUUCGCUGAAAGGGUUGGGAUAGGCGAUUUUGGAACGGUUUACAAAGGAACCCUUCCUGAUGGUCGUAAUGUUGCCGUGAAGAUCCUGAAAGACUCAAAGGGAAAUGGGGAAGACUUCAUCAAUGAAGUUGCAAGCAUGAGCAAAACUUCUCAUGUCAACAUUGUAGACCUACUUGGAUUCUGCGCUGAAGGUUCAAAGAGAGCAAUUCUGAUGCAGCGCAUCCACACCGGUUUAGUCUCUCGGUUGUAUUCUAAACCGAGUUCGUGUAAUCAGUAUCUUGUUAGGAUUCUAACUUAUCAUUUUGUAUUUAGUUGUUUUAAGUAUAGGACUAGAUAAGUCAUCUAUACGUCAUUAUAGGAUGUCGUUAGUUUCAGUAUAUAAAGGAGUCAUCUCCUAUUGUAAAGAUUACGUUAAUAUUGAAUCAUAAAUCAGAACUUUGAAGUUCUUA